rnacentral:tRNA from 3 species
GCGUGUGUGAUGUUUAACGGCUAGCAUUCCUGUCUUCCAAACAGGCUGUGCGGGUUCGAAUCCCGCCACGCGUUCCA